GUCUGUACCCAUACCACCCAGAACACGCAUGGUCUUAGGAGCUAAGCAGGGUUAAGGAUGGUUAGCACUUGGAUAGGAGACUGCCUGGGAAUACCCGGUGCUGUAGACU
rnacentral:rRNA from 1 species